rnacentral:rRNA from 1 species
GCAAGUCGAGGGGUAGCAGGGGAUUUGGGUUCAGCUGACGACCGGCGCACGGGUGAGUAACGCGUAUGAAAUCUGCCUUUUACCGGGGGAUAGCCCAGUGAAACCUGGAUUAAUACCCCAUAGAAUUUAUAGUUCGCAUGGACAAUAAAUUAAAACUCCGUUGGUAAAAGAUGAUCAUGCGUAGCAUUAGUUAGUUGGUAAGGUAACGGCUUACCAAGACGAUGAUGCUUAGGGGUUCUGAGAGGACAAUC